rnacentral:pre_miRNA from 1 species
UUACUACUCCCUCCGUUCGGAAUUACUUAUCGCAGAAAUGGAUGUAUCUAGACGUAUUUUAUUUCUAGAUACAUCCAUUUCCGAGACAAGUAAUUCCGAACGGAGGGAGUAGUAA